UACCCUGUAGAUCCGAAUUUGUAA
rnacentral:piRNA from 6 species